UUUUAGUUUGCCAUUGGUCGAGGGGAGGUGAAAUAGUGCCCAACUGUACCGUGCCCGGACCUGGCCGAGCCGCGCGCACCUGCUGCGGGAAGGAACGAGGGAGUUGUGCGCCCAUGAGCAGGGGGUCACGGAGCAGAGGCAGGCUCCUCUGCUGACCUACCCUGCUUCCCAGCUUGCAAUUUGAAGUGGAUGUCAAGGCUCCCCUGCUACUACUUCUCAAAGGGAAAGUUAAUGAACAACAGCUGCUACAUUCAGUUUGCUGACCUUCAUUGUCCACUCUAUGUACCUGCUGCCUGCUAACAAGGUGAGUCAACAAAAAAGCUAGGCCCUAGCAAUUUGG
rnacentral:lncRNA from 1 species